GCGCGGCCGCCGGCCUCCGCUGCUGCGAUUCGAUCCAGAUAGCGCGGCUAGGGUUGGGCCACCGGAACCUUCGCCGGCAACCCAGGGCUCCUCGCCGGCGGCCGUCCACGUCCUGCGAGGCACCGAGGCUCCUGUCCGCACGGGCACGGCCGCCGGCCUGCGCUGACGCGAUUCGACUCCCUGCCUCGCGCGUGUGCCCGCCGGCCGCGUCUGGUCCGAUUGCUGGCGACGUCUGGCUCCCGGCCGCACUACUCCUCAGCGGCCUCCUCAACGCCACAUCUCUUCGGCAACUGACGCCUCCCCGCCGGAUUUCCAGGCCACGGUCGCCUGCCCGCCGAAUCUCCAGGCCACGGUCGCCUGCCCGCCGAAUCUCCAGGCCACGGUCGCCUCACCGCCGGAUCUCCACGUCCACCACACUUUCAGUUUGCCACUCUCAUCCUACCUCAAGUUUUUUUCUGUCCAGUAAGGUCUCCAAAUUAUUCUAGUUGCAUAAUUUUGCUUCCAAAGACCAGUGAUACAGCAUACAUAGCAUGAUUAGAUGUAGGUUGGGUUCAAAAGAUCCUUUCUGUUAUACUGCGAAAUGGCAAUUGAUAUUGUCGAAUAUAGUUGCAUGAUUUCUGUAAUUGCUUAUACAUCCCUAUGAGCAGGUCGGCAUGUCGCGUGGGAGCAGCUGCAGCAGCGGAGCAUAUGAAUUUCCCAAGAACGCAGUACCGAUGCCACUCACCCGCUGUCCAAAGUGCCCACGGUUGGAUCCCCUUGUGAGGUGCAUAACGCAAAAGACAGUGAAUGGCAACUUUGGCCGUGAGUUCGCGAAGUGCGAAAGUAAGACGCCGACAGGACAGGCUGCCCGUAAACAAUGCCACUUUUUUAUGUGGUUGGAUGAGUAUAUUGCGGCUCUAGGCAUAUGCAGGGAUGGCAUGAUGACAAGAUCAGGCCCGCAACAAGCCGUCAAAUAGUAGGGCGUAUGUGGCUACUGACACGCUUGUUGCGGAACUGAAGAACAUGAAUGCCGAACUAAAGAAUAUGAAUGCCAACCUUGCCGAACUGAAGAUCAUGAAUGUCAACAUUGCCAAACUGAAGAAAAUGAAUGCCGACCUUGCCGAACUUAAGAAUAUGAAGCAAUUGUUCAAAGUCUUUUAUAUUUCUUUGAUAUCUAUCGGUGUGCUUUUUCUUAUGAUGAAUCAUGGAUCUAAGUAUUGAACUUGUA